AUGAUGUCAGAGGAGAACCCGCUGUUUCCUGCUGAUCUGGAGGCGCAGUUGAGUCUUUCACCUUCGAGCGUUAACGUGGAGCAGUCUGUUCCAGGUGGAGGCAGGUGUAAAACUGAGGAGAAAGGGGCGGAGACUGUCUCUGAGCAUCAGCCUCAGCCACCAUCCCAACCCUCCCAGACAUCUUCAUGGGGGGUGUUCUGUGAGUCUGCCAGAUCUCAGGUGGAAGGUCACUCCCAGCUGGACUCCACUGGUGCUGCAGAGUACUCCCCAGCUGUGGAGUUUGAGAGGAAGAGUCUUGUCGUGGUCAGUCAAAACUCUCGGCCUGCUUCCUACCCCCUCCUGCCUGUUGACCCAGACCAGAUUGACAUCCAUGCAUCGACUCCAUCCUAUGAGAUCCAUCUGGACCAGGAACCUGCAGAUGAAGAUGAGGAGGAAAAGGAGGAAGCAGAGAUGAGGGAAACCAUGUUUGAGCUGCUGGGAGAGAGGUGGGACUCUGCCAUGGGCCUGCUGCCCCCCAUCCCGGGGCUGGGUCAGGAGGACAGCUACGAGUGGUGUUUUCUAGGGUCAUCCGAGUCCAGCCGGGGUGAGAGCAGCUCUGAGUUGACCCCCCUGUCCAUCUCAGAGCAGCAUACGGAGGUGUACCCGUACUACAGCGUGCUGGACUGGGACGCCAGCUGCACUCUGAGAGUAAGUCCUCCUGCAGCCAAGCCUCUCCUGUUCUUUAUGCUGACUCAGCAUUGACGGGUAACUGCAGCUUAGACCGGAGUGUUUUUAUCACAACAAAGACAUUUUAGUUUAGAGCGGCUCUCACUUUGUUCCAGAAAUGUUCCUGUGGUUCUGUCCAAAUCUGUCUGAAGCUGCUUCAGUCAGCUGACCAGGAACAAAUUUACACUGAAACACUACACGUGUCAGUCUGAUCAUGUGUUAUUUAGACCAGUUUGAUCGUCUCUUUCUAAGGGCCGGGGUGACCUUAGACCAGGAGUCUGCAACCAUUGGCUCCAGAUCCACAUGAGGCUCUUUCAUCUCUCCAUAGCGGCUCCUUGAUCAAACAAAAUAAAUCAUGGAGACUGUUGAUCCAGUCAUGUCGACCGUCUGAUUCAGCAGAUCUCUGAUAAUGGUUGUCCAACCAAAACUACCUCAAGAAAACAAAUAAACAAAGCCUGC
rnacentral:lncRNA from 1 species